AUUGAACGCUGGCGGCAGGCCUAACACAUGCAAGUCGAACGAGUGGCGGACGGGUGAGUAAUGUCUGGGAAACUGCCUGAUGGAGGGGGAUAACUACUGGAAACGGUAGCUAAUACCGCAUACCAUCGGAUGUGCCCAGAUGGGAUUAGCUAGUAGGUGGGGUAAAGGCUCACCUAGGCGACGAUCCCUAGCUGGUCUGAGAGGAUGACCAGCCACACGGGAACGGAGACACGGUCCAGACUACGACGGGAGGCAGCAGUGGGGAAUAGUGCAAAAUGGGCGCAAGCCUGAUGCAGCCAUGCCGCGUGUAUGAAGAAGGCCUUCGGGUUGUAAAGUACGUUCAGCGAGGAGGCGUUACUCGCAGAAGAAGCACCGGCUAACUCCGUGCCAGCAGCCGCGGUAAUAC
rnacentral:rRNA from 1 species